CCUACGGGAGGCAGCAGUAAGGAAUAUUGGUCAAUGGACGCAAGUCUGAACCAGCCAUGCCGCGUGAAGGAUGAAGGUCCUCUGGAUUGUAAACUUCUUUUAUAUGGGACGAAAACCUCUUUUCUAAGGGGACUGACGGUACCAUAGGAAUAAGCACCGGCUAACUCCGUGCCAGCAGCCGCGGUAAUACGGAGGGUGCAAGCGUUAUCCGGAUUCACUGGGUUUAAAGGGUGCGUAGGAGGGCAGGUAAGUCAGUGGUGAAAUCUUCGAGCUUAACUCGGAAACUGCCGUUGAUACUAUCUGUCUUGAAUACCGUGGAGAUGAGCGGAAUAUGUCAUGUAGCGGUGAAAUGCUUAGAUAUGACAUAGAACACCAAUUGCGAAGGCAGCUCGUUACACGAAUAUUGACUCUGAGGCACGAAAGCGUGGGGAUCAAACAGG
rnacentral:rRNA from 1 species